UACGUAGGGUGCGAGCGUUAAUCGGAAUUACUGGGCGUAAAGCGUGCGUAGGUGGUUUGUUAAGUCUGCUGUGAAAGCCCUGGGCUCAACCUGGGAAUGGCGGUGGAUACUGACAAGCUAGAGUGCGGUAGAGGAGGGUGGAAUUCCCGGUGUAGCGGUGAAAUGCGUAGAGAUCGGGAGGAACAUCAGUGGCGAAGGCGGCCCUCUGGACCAGCACUGACGCUGAGGCACGAAAGCGUGGGGAGCAAACAGG
rnacentral:rRNA from 1 species